rnacentral:rRNA from 1 species
UGUUUCGGCUAGGGGGUCAUCCCGACUUACCAACCCGAUGCAAACUGCGAAUACCGAAGAAUGUUAUCACGGGAGACACACGGCGGGUGCUAACGUCCGUCGUGAAGAGGGAAACAACCCAGACCGCCAGCUAAGGUCCCAAAGUCAUGGUUAAGUGGGAAACGAUGUGGGAAGGCACAGACAGCCAGGAUGUUGGCUUAGAAGCAGCCAUCAUUUAAAGAAAGCGUAAUAGCUCACUGGUCGAGUCGGCCUGCGCGGAAGAUGUAACGGGGCUAAACCAUGCACCGAAGCUGCGGCAGCGACACUAUGUGUUGUUGGGUAGGGGAGCGUUCUGUAAGCCGUUGAAGGUGUGUUGUGAGGCAUGCUGGAGGUAUCAGAAGUGCGAAUGCUGACAUAAGUAACGAUAAUGCGGGUGAAAAACCCGCACGCCGGAAGACCAAGGGUUCCUGUCCAACGUUAAUCGGGGCAGGGUGAGUCGACCCCUAAGGCGAGGCCGAAAGGCGUAGUCGAUGGGAAACAGGUUAAUAUUCCUGUACUUGGUGUUACUGCGAAGGGGGGACGGAGAAGGCUAUGUUAGCCGGGCGACGGUUGUCCCGGUUUAAGCAUGUAGGCGGAGGUUCCAGGUAAAUCCGGUACCUUUUUAACGCUGAGGUGUGAUGACGAGGCACUACGGUGCUGAAGUAACAAAUGCCCUGCUUCCAGGAAAAGCCUCUAAGCAUCAGGUAACACGAAAUCGUACCCCAAACCGACACAGGUGGUCAGGUAGAGAAUACCAAGGCGCUUGAGAGAACUCGGGUGAAGGAACUAGGCAAAAUGGUGCCGUAACUUCGGGAGAAGGCACGCUGAUAUGUAGGUGAAGUGAUUUACUCAUGGAGCUGAAAUCAGUCGAAGAUACCAGCUGGCUGCAACUGUUUAUUAAAAACACAGCACUGUGCAAACACGAAAGUGGACGUAUACGGUGUGACGCCUGCCCGGUGCCGGAAGGUUAAUUGAUGGGGUUAUCCGUAAGGAGAAGCUCUUGAUCGAAGCCCCGGUAAACGGCGGCCGUAACUAUAACGGUCCUAAGGUAGCGAAAUUCCUUGUCGGGUAAGUUCCGACCUGCACGAAUGGCGUAAUGAUGGCCAGGCUGUCUCCACCCGAGACUCAGUGAAAUUGAACUCGCUGUGAAGAUGCAGUGUACCCGCGGCAAGACGGAAAGACCCCGUGAACCUUUACUAUAGCUUGACACUGAACACUGGUCCUUGAUGUGUAGGAUAGGUGGGAGGCUUUGAAGUGUGGACGCCAGUCUGCAUGGAGCCAUCCUUGAAAUACCACCCUUUAAUGGCUGGUGUUCUAACGUGGACCCGUGAUCCGGGUUGCGGACAGUGUCUGGUGGGUAGUUUGACUGGGGCGGUCUCCUCCUAAAGAGUAACGGAGGAGCACGAAGGUUAGCUAAUCCUGGUCGGACAUCAGGAGGUUAGUGCAAAGGCAUAAGCUAGCUUGACUGCGAGAGUGACGGCUCGAGCAGGUGCGAAAGCAGGUCUUAGUGAUCCGGUGGUUCUGAAUGGAAGGGCCAUCGCUCAACGGAUAAAAGGUACUCCGGGGAUAACAGGCUGAUACCGCCCAAGAGUUCAUAUCGACGGCGGUGUUUGGCACCUCGAUGUCGGCUCAUCACAUCCUGGGGCUGAAGUAGGUCCCAAGGGUAUGGCUGUUCGCCAUUUAAAGUGGUACGCGAGCUGGGUUUAGAACGUCGUGAGACAGUUCGGUCCCUAUCUGCCGUGGGCGCUGGAGAAUUGAGGGGGGCUGCUCCUAGUACGAGAGGACCGGAGUGGACGCAUCACUGGUGUUCGGGUUGUCAUGCCAAUGGCAUUGCCCGGUAGCUAAAUGCGGAAGAGAUAAGUGCUGAAAGCAUCUAAGCACGAAACUUGCCCCGAGAUGAGUUCUCCCUGAGACUUUAAGUCUCCUGAAGGAACGUUGAAGACGACGACGUUGAUAGGUCGGGUGUGUAAGUGUAGC